rnacentral:rRNA from 1 species
UACGUAGGGUGCGAGCGUUGUUCGGAAUCACUGGGCUUAAAGGGCGCGUAGGCGGGCUGUCAAGUCUGGGGUGAAAUGCCGCGGCUCAACCGUGGAACUGCCUCAGAUACUGACGGCCUCGAGGAAGGUAGGGGCAUGCGGAACUGUAGGUGGAGCGGUGAAAUGCGUUGAUAUCUACAGGAACUCCGGUGGCGAAAGCGGCGUGCUGGACCUUUUCUGACGCUGAGGCGCGAAAGCUAGGGGAGCAAACGGG